AAAUAACAAAGAAAAUAAUCAGUAAAUGAAACACUAAAAUCGGUCCAGAGACGAAAUAGCGAAACUCUCAUCUCGAACACAUCGAGUCGAUGUGAAGAACAGAGAAGCGCCCAAAAUCGGUCCUCUAUAGCUAGAAAUCCCAAAUCGAAACCCAAAAUCGAUCCUCUCUAGCUAGAAAUCUGUCCAGAUAAUAGAAAUCCCAAAUCGAAAUCCCUCUAAAAGCUCACCCGAAUCGAAAUCCUUCAAAUCAGAAUGUGAAUUCGAUUUGGUGUUUAUGAUACUUGCUGGAAACUUCAUUUUGAAGCUAAAUCUUAAGAUUGGAAGCUGGUUUGGUGAGUUUUGGUUUGAAUUUGUGAAUCGAGUUGUGCGAAGAAGAAGACCACUAGGGUCUUUCGAUUCAGGCCAUUGUUUGCACAAAUUGACUCAAAGCUUCUUCAACUUCAAGUAUUUAAGAACUUGUACACAGCUGCGGAAGUCGACAAAGGGCAAGAAAAUAUAGAAGUGAAAAUUUAACAACUCAGGGACAAGACACUUAAACAGUGGUAUCGUUCAAGGAUGGUGUCGGGCAAAGAGCAGUUACAAGGCACUUAAUAUUUUGUCAUUUUUGGGAUAUAUAUAUGCAUACAAUUACAAUGUAAAAUAAAGUGUCGGGUAGUAUAUAUGUAAUUGACUUUUUAGUAAUGAUAAUAUUUAUAAUAUUCGGCUUGAGAAAUUCUUUUGGUGUUUGUCAAA